rnacentral:rRNA from 1 species
CCUACGGGCGGCAGCAGUGAGGAAUAUUGGUCCAUUGGCGAGAGCCUGAACCAGCCAAGUCGCGUGAAGGAUGACGGCCCUACGGGUUGUAAACUUCUUUUGUCAGGGAGCAAUUGAGUCCACGUGUGGGCUUAGCGAGAGUACCUGAAGAAAAAGCAUCGGCUAACUCCGUGCCAGCAGCCGCGGUAAUUCGGGGGAUGCGAGCGUUAUGCGGAUUUAUUGGGUUUAAAGGGUGCGUAGGCGGAAGAUCAAGUCAGCGGGAAAAAGUCGGGGCUCAACCCCGUCGUGCCGUUGAAACUGAUGUUCUUGAGUGGGCGAGAAGUAGGCGGAAUGCGUGGUGUAGCGGUGAAAUACAUAGAGAUCAGGCAGAACUCCGAUUGCGAAGGCAGAAUACCGGCGCCCAACUGACGCUGAAGUACGAAAGCGUGGGUAUCGAACAGGAUUAGAUACCCGUGUAGUC